CUUUUCAUGUGUUUAUUUCCCAACCUAUUAUUCUCUUUUGUGAACUAUCUUUUCAAGUCCUUUUCUCAUUUCUUAAUUGAGUUGUUCAUUUUCUUAUUGUUUGGUUUAAUAAUUCUUUAUAUAUUCUGGAUAGAAGUUCUUUGUUGAAUAUGUGAUUUGUAAAUAUUGUUUCCGGUUUGUGACUUGUUUUUUCAUUCUCUUACAGACUUUACUAAAGUCACUUAAUAGGCAAUAUGGUACUGGCAUGAAAAUAGUCAUAUAAACCAACAGAAUAGAAUAAAGAAUCUAGAAAUAAACUCUUGCAUUUUUGAUCAAAUGAUUUUUGACAAGGGUGCAAAGACCAUUCAAUGGGCAAAAGGACAGUCUUUUCAAUAAAAUUACUGUGAAAACUGGAUAUCCAAAUGGAAAGGAAUGAAGUGAGACUGCAUCACUUGACACCACAUACAAAAAUGAACUCAAAAUGGAAUGAAGACCUAAAUGUAAGAGCUAGAACUAUAAAACUCUUAGAAGAAAACACAGGGCAAAAGCUUCAUAACAUUUGAUUUGACCAUGAUUUCUUGGAUAUGACACCAAAGGCACAUACAACAAAAGAAAAAAAUAGGAAAAUUGGUCUUCAGGAAAAUUAAAAAUUGUACACAUCAACAAACAUUAUCAACAGAGUAAAAAGGCAAGCCAAAGAAUGGGAGAAAAUAUUUGCAAAUCAUAUAUCUGGAAAGGGAUUAAUAUCCAGAAUAUAUAAAGUAGUCCUAAAACUCAACAACCCAAAAUAAAUAACCCAAUUCAAAAAAAGGCAAAAGAGUUGAAUAUAUGUUUCUCCAAAGAAGCUAUCCAAAUGGCCAACAAGUACAUGAAAAGACACUCAACAUCAUUAAUCAUUAGGGAAAUGCAGAUCAAAACUACAAUGAGAAACCAGCCAAUACCCAUUAAAAUGGCUGCUAUCAAAAAAAAAAAAUAUCCCAGAAAAUAACAGGUGUUAUGAGGACGUGGAGUAACUGGAACCCUUGGGCACUGUUGGUAGACAUGUAAAAUGGUACAGUUGCUGUGGAAAACAGUGUGGAAGUUCCUCCAAAAAUUAACGCUAGAACUACCAUGUGAUUCAGCAAUUCAACUUCUAGGUAUAUACCCAAAAGAAUUGAAAGCAGGGUCUACAAGAGAUAUUUUUACACCCAUGUUCCUAACAGCAUUAUUCACAGUAGCUAAAACAUGAACACAACCCAAGUGUCCAUUGACAGAUAAAUGGGUAAGUAAAAUGUAGUAAAUACAUACAAUGGCAUAUUAUUCAGUCUUAAAAAGGAAGGAAACUUUGACAUAUGCUAUAACAUGGAUGGACCUUGAGGACAUUAUGCUACAUGAAAUAAGCCAGCCAAAAUAUGACAAAUACUAUAUGAUUUCACUUAUACAAGGUAGAGUAGUCAAAAUCAUAGAAACUAUCAUAGUGAUUACCAGAGGCUGAAGGGAGGAAGGAUGGGGAGUUAUUGUUUAAUCUGUAUAAAGUUUCAAUUUUAUAAAAUGAAGAGUUCUGGACAUGAGUGAUGGUGAUGAUUGUAUAACAUUAUGAAUAUGUUUAACACUACUGAACUAUACACUUAAAAAUGGUUAAGAUGGUAAAUUUUAUGUUAUGUGUGUUUUACCACAGGAAAAAGAAAACAAUAACUUGAAAACUAUAUGUGAUUAAAAAUUAACAAGUACUCUUUUAAAAUUUCUGCAAAUAAAAACUGAAACAGCUUCUUUGGAAAGGAAAUUGGCAUGAUCUAGGGAGGUUAAACGUGUUCAUAUCCUAUGGUCCCACAAUUCCACUUGUAGGUAUAUACACGGGAUGAAAUCUUGCAUUUAUGCAAUAAAAGGCAUACUCGAGAUUGUUUAAAAGAGUAGAGAUUAUGAUAAUAAGAAAGUAAAAAUAAUCCAAAUGUCCAUCAACAGUACAAUGGAUAAAUUGUGGUAUGCUAUUCUAUAAUGGAAUAUUACACAAAAGCGAUAAGGAACUAAAUUAUACCUAUAUAAAACAAAACCAAAGAAUUAAUAAUAAACUUGUUUAUUAAACUUCAUACGGAAAAACAAAUAUGCAAGAGUACCCAGAAAAACACUAAGAAAGAAAAACAAUGAGGAAGACUACUUCACCAGACACUGAAACGAAUUAAAGAUUCUAUAAGUAUGGGCUCAGCAUGCUUCUACUGCGCCACUGCACUCUCUGCUAAAGAUUCAGUAAUUAAAUCAUUAUGGUACUGCUGUAUAGCUAGACAGACCACCAAUGGAAUAAAAUAUAUAGCCCUGAAAUAGAUUCAAAUAAAUAUACAAAUCCAGUAUAUGAUAAAGGUGGCAUCUCAUAUCACUGGGACAAGACGGACAUUAUAAUAAAUGGUGCCAAGAUAAAUGUUUAGCCAUGUGGAAAAAGAUACUAGUAGAUCUGUAUCUAACACCACACACAAAAAUAAACUCCAAGUGGUUGAGGUAUCUACACGUAAAAAAUUAAGCCAUACAAGUACAGGAAUAAAACAUGGGUAAAUUACUCUUUAAAUUCAAGGUAGAUGAAGAUUUUCUAAUAUGACUCAUAAUAUAGAGGCAAUCAAAUAAAAGAUUGAUCACAUAAAAAUUGAAAUUUCUUGUGGCACAAAAUAUCACAACCAAAGUCAAAAGACAAUUGGAAAAACAGGAGAAAAUAUUUGGUAUGGACAAAGGGUUAAAUUCCUAAUAUAUACAGAAUUCUUAAUAAUUGAGGGACAAAGGAUCAAAAUCCUCAUAGAAAACUCUCAAAAAGAUGUAAAUAAACAAUUCACACAAAAAAAGAAAUUAAAUAGUCCUGAAACAUAUAGGAAAAUAUUCAAACUGAAUCAUAAGAAGAUAUACAAAUUAAAACAACACUAAAUGCAAUGUAAGAUCCUGGAUUGGAACCCAGAACAGAACAAGAGCACUGGUGGAAAAAAUGGUGACGUUCAAAAAGGUCUGUAGUUUAGUAAUUUUUCCAAUGUUGCUUUCCUGGUUUUGAUCAUUGAACUAUGCAAGAUGGGAACUUUAGGGGCAGCUGGGUGAAGAAUACGCUAUACAGGAACUCUCUGAACUAUUUUUGUAACAUUUCAGUAAGUCUUAAUUUCUAAAUAAAAAUUUUUUUAAAACGCUAUAUUUAGGAUCACAACAUUUUCGGUAGCACUAUUAAAAGUCAUGAGGGACUGAUAAGUAUAAAAUAUAAGCUAGUGGUAACAUAUGAGGGCGACAGAUGGGAAAUGGAUGGGAGAGGGACACUUGGGACUUUAAUGGCAAUUUUCAUAUUAAUGGGUGUGAAUAGAUGACCAUUCACUGUAACAUGAUUAUUUUAUACCUUUUAUAUAUUUGAUAAUUCUUUUGAAUCAAUGCAAUAUGUUUAAUGAACACAAAAUAUGAGAUUCUAGCAGAAAUGUAGAGUUCAUCUUAGAAACAGGCUUUUUGUAGCAAUGUGAAGUUGCAUCACAUUAAAUGAGAAUACUCCUAGAAAGGCCUUUUGAUGUUACAAUUUGAAGUGUUAGGUUUGCUUACUCCUCCAUCUGUAGAUCCCUAAUGUGAGCUGGCUUGCAUGUGAGGACAGCAAAAUCUUGGCAACAACGCAGUUUAGUUCUGAGUGCAGUAUCAAUGGAGAAAGGGGAACAGUUGGAGUAUUUGCCUUUGGAUACAACUUUAAGAAGAGCAAAUGGAAGAGAGUACUUACUGACACAUGCUGAGAAAAAUGCCCCUGCAGCGAGUCUCAAGACACCCAAUUAAGAUAAAAUUAAAUCAUGCAAACAUUGAUCCAGCUAAAUUUGCCAGGGAGCCCGCAGCCUAAAGGAAGCCUAAAGGAAGCUGGAAAUCAACACUGUUUCCAAGAGUUGGAGUAAACAACAAUGAAAGUCACCAAUAACAAUGACAAUGAAAUGUCGCUAUGCCUCAAAUCUACCAAUUUGUCAAAAUUUGAUUAAAAUGAAUUGGAAAACAAGUUCACUAAAGGAAGAUAUAUAGCCUAGAGAUGUGUGGGGACCAAGCAAGGGAUAUUUUCAUCCAAAGAAGCUAAUUAUAUGCACAGAGACCUCAGUUUCCCUUGAGAAUCAGUUGGCAGAAACUUUUCCUCUCUCAUGCCACCUGCAUCUUCUCUCCAUAACUUGCUGCUCACUUCUUCCCCCCAGCAUCCUCCCUCUUGGUCCUGGCUGUCCAUCCCUGUGGCCCCCAUGCUGACUUCAGAUUUUCUACUUCCUCUCCUCCUCACUCUUCGGGAAAGAUAAAGAUAAGGCUAAUUUCUCUCCAUUAGCUUUUCAAAUUCCUUCCUCACCUCUCUUCAGGCAGGACAAUAAGAUGGUUAAGUGCACAAGUUUGAACCCCAGCCUAUCUCCUUAACUGCCAUGAGAUCUACCUCACAGAAGUGUUAUAAAGAAUGAGUGAGUUUGUGCACGUAAAGCAUCAAAGGCCAGAAUAAGCCCUCAGUGAAUAGUGGUUAUUAUCGUUAUUAGGAACAAUUUAGUUUCACUGUGCUCAGCAAAUACAACAUCCCUGUGCCACCAGCGUACAAUCCCCUCACUAUAUGUAUUCAAGGUCCUACCCCUUUCAGCUACACUUAGGCCUGUGAGGAGGAGGGAAGAGGAAUGCUGUCACCUUCCAAGACUUUUAUCUGGAACAGCCUUUAUCUCUUUCACUGUGGGGAUUUUCCCCAGUCUCUUUUGUUCUCUGUUUCAGAGCUUAUUUUGCCUCCCUUUUGUGUUACAUUCCCUUCUAUAGGAGGGUAGAGUUGCCCUAUUUACAAGAGUAGCUAUCACCAUGGUAACUUGGUAUUUUGAUACAGGCAUGAAACAAUCCCGAGGGAAAAAUAGGUCCCUUAUUUUUCAACUUUGGCAUGUAGAUGUAUGAGAAUCAAAAUACUUGCCCAGCAUAAUAUAGCUGGUUCAAAUGUCAAAGCAAAGAAACAAGUUUUCUUGAUAUUUUAAAUAAGUAUUGAGCAACCACAGCAUGCUAUCAAUUGAGCAGAACAUUCUCACAAUUAAUUUCUGCCUCUUAGGCACGAAAGCUUGCAGGCAACAUGGCAUAUACUUCCGUGAACUCAUUCUCUGAAUGAAAAAAUUGGUACCCAUGGUCAGACAAAGAACUGUCAAGUUCACUCAAAUUGCAAAAGGAGUCGUGAAAGAAGUCAUUUGAAGUUUCUGGAAUAUUUUGGUUGUUUAUUGAAGGGGAACAAGACAGAAAAUUUUAAAAUCAGCGUCUUCUGAAUGGGUCAGAGGAACUUGCUUGCUGUCUAUAUCAUUUGUACAUUGCAUAUGGAAGAAGGAGCAGCUGGUUUUGAUUAUUGAAGGCCUACAGUGUUCCAGACUCCCUAAGGUGAGCUGCUAACAUAGAUAUGUGAACUGUCACUCUUGCUUUUGGCACUUUUCAUUUGGUGAGGAAACAAACAAUUACCAUACGAUACGAUGUUUCCGUAGAUAGCUACAAUAUGUUAUGAGAGAAGAGAAGGAAAGAAGGCCUGAUAGAGAUGAAUUUUGACCUGUAUUUCAAGGGCAGUCAACUGGUGAAAUCUGAGGGAAUAGGCUUUGCCUCAGUUAGAAAUAGGUGUCACUCCUUAUAGUAACUCUCCAGAAUAUGAACUUCUUUUAUUCUCUCUGCCAAACAAGGCAAGCAUAAUCUCUACCUUGGCAUAGUCCAAAUCGAGGUGUUCCUAAAACCAGGCUUGCUGACAGACCCCAAGUGAAUUCCCGAGAUGAACGAUUUUCAGUUUGCCAAAUGUGCCAUCUUUUUUCUUACUUUUGCCCAUUUUGUCCCAUUUGUCUGAAAUCUCCCUGCUGCACCAUGUCUCCUCUUCUAUCCACCCCACAUGUGUGCUUCCUCUUACCAGCUUCUAUUGUCCUUUGGGCCUUAACUCUGCAAUUUCUUCUUUGGGAUAACCUUUGCCGAUGCCCAGAGUGUUCUAGUCUUCCUAUUUGCUUUUGCGUUAUUCUCUACUUCCCUUUACAUUGGUGCUUAUAAAAGUGUUCUGUCAUUGCCUAUUUUCUGCUCUGACUCAUUCAAUUCCACUUGCUCCUUUCACUCUCUUCACUAGGAAGCAAUUGUUGUUGUUCCCUUUUGUAUUCUGAGAGCCUAACUUAAUUUGUAUUAAAUAGAUGUACAAAUGCAUAAAAGAAGACAUUGUUUAUAAUAACUGCCCAACAAUAGAAAGAGCUACCCCAUUUCACAAUGAUGUUUAAUUGGAUUUGUUAUAGAAAGUCUUCUUGUGAGGUAUUUUAAUGUUUUG
rnacentral:lncRNA from 1 species